GGAAGACCAGCCUCAACAACUUAGCAAGAUCCUGUCUCAAAAUAUAAAAUAAAAAGGGACUGGGGAUGUAGCUCAGUGCUAGAAAGCCCCUGGUUCAAUUCUCAGUAUCCCCUCCAUGCCAUAUAUACACAAACUGUUCAAAGGGGCCUUGGAGUUGCAUGGGGGGAGAGGAAGGAGAGAAAGCCCAAUCAGCCCAAUCAGGUGAUAUCUGCAUUCCCCUGCCCCCCAAGAAUAGGGAACAAUUUCUUUCCUAAUUCUGUCAUGGUACCAGCACAUCCAUUUCAUCCACACUGAGUGCCUCUUCUCCUGCCAGGUGACUAUGCCUGGUCAGGACCUCUAUCAGCCUCACCUCUAUAUUCCUGCCAUAGUGGCUCCCGACUCCCAUCCACCCAGAACUGCUGCCUCCUUCUGGCACAACACAACUUACUGGUUCUCAUUGUUUACAGUGAACUCCAGUUCCUUAUUUCCGUAUUCAAGACCUCAUAUCUGACAGCAACCUGUACCAAAUAGACUUGUCCCAGUGAUCCCCCAUUAUCUCCUGACUUUGAGUCCAAGUCUUGACUUUUGCUAGAUUAACAAAAGGGCCCCUACCACCUCCCAAAUCUCCUGUUUGUUUAAAAAGUGCCCCUACCACUUUCCAAAUCUCUUGUUUGUUCAUUUCCCCCGUCUCCCUCCUCUCCUCCCUUCCUCUUUUUCGUUCAUUUAUUGGUAGUGGGGAUUGAACCCAGAGAUAUUCUACCUCUGAACUACAUCCCAAGCCAUUUUUAUUUUUUAUUUUGAGACAGGGUCUCACUAAGUUGUCCAGGCUGGCAUCAAUCUUGUGAUCCUCCUGCCUCAGACUCCUAGGCUGUGAUGACAGGCAUGUGACACUGUGCUGGUCCUAUUUCUCCUCUUACUACAUUCUAAUACUGCUCUUUUCCAGAAAGGACUCUUGCUGGUACUAGUGUCUGCUCGGCUCCCUUGGCAACUGAGGGUACUUUAAGAUUUAUCACUGUCUCAAGCUGCAUCUCCCCAGAUGUAUGCGCAUAUAUAGAGAAAACCCCAUUCAUGCUCCUUACUUUCCCACAGGAUCCCUGG
rnacentral:lncRNA from 1 species